UUCCUAAUGGCUCAGUUGGUAAAGAACUUGCCUGCAAUGCAGGAGACCCGGGUCCAAUCUCUGGGUUGGGAAG
rnacentral:tRNA from 1 species